rnacentral:rRNA from 1 species
UGCAAGUCGAACGGAGCACUUCGGUGCGUUAGUGGGCGAAACGGGUGAGUAAUAUAUGAACAACCUACCCCUUUGACCGGGAUAACACAACUGAAAAGCGUGCUAAUACCGGAUAGGCGAUCGAGAGGCAUCUCUUGAUUAUUAAAGGAGCGCAUGCUCCACAUUGGGAUGGGUUCAUAUCGCAUUAGCUAGUUGGUGAGGUAACGGCCCACCAAGGCGAUGAUGCGUAGCCGAUCUGAGAGGAUGACCGGCCACAUUGGGACUGAGACACGGCCCAGACUCCUACGGGAGGCAGCAGUAGGGAAUUUUCGGCAAUGGGCGCAAGCCUGACCGAGCAACGCCGCGUGAACGAUGAAGGGUUCCUUAUGGAUUGUAAAGUUCUGUUACGAGGGAAGAACAGCACUGAUAGGAAAUGAUCAGUGUGUGACGGUACCUCGCCAGAAAGCCACGGCUAACUACGUGCCAGCCGCCGC